GAUGAAGAACGUAGCGAAAUGCGAUAAGUAGUGUGAAUUGCAGAAUUCAGUGAAUCAUCGAAUCUUUGAACGCACAUUGCGCCCCUUGGUAUCCCGAGGGGCAUGCCUGUUCGAGCGUCAUUUCACCACUCAAGCCUGGCUUGGUGUUGGGCGACGUCCCCUUUGGGGACGCGCCUUGAAACGCUCGGCGGCGUGGCACCGGCUUUAAGCGUAGCAGAAUCUUUCGCUUUGGAAGUCGGGGCCCCGUCUGCCGGAAGACCUACUCGCAAGGUUGACCUCGGAUCAGGUAGGGAUACCCGCUGAACUUAAGCAUAUCAAUAAGCGGAGGA
rnacentral:misc_RNA from 1 species